rnacentral:rRNA from 1 species
CUACGGGAGGCUCCAGUGAGGAAUAUUGCACAAUGGGGGGAACCCUGAUGCAGCAACGCCGCGUGGAGGAUGAAGCAUUUCGGUGUGUAAACUCCUUUUAUAUGUCAAGAAAAUGACGGUAGCAUAUGAAUAAGCACCGGCUAACUCCGUGCCAGCAGCCGCGGUAAUACGGAGGGUGCAAGCGUUACUCGGAAUCACUGGGCGUAAAGGACGCGUAGGCGGGUUGGAAAGUCAGGUGUGAAAUACUACAGCUUAACUGUAGAACUGCACUUGAAACUUCUAAUCUAGAGUAUGGGAGGGGGAGAUGGAAUUAGUGGUGUAGGGGUAAAAUCCGUAGAUAUCACUAGGAAUACCUAAAGCGAAGGCGAUCUCCUGGAACAUUACUGACGCUAAGGCGUGAAAGCGUGGGGAGCAAACAGGAUUAGAUACCCGGGUAGUC